UACGUAGGGUCCGAGCGUUGUCCGGAAUUAUUGGGCGUAAAGGGCUCGUAGGCGGUUUGUCACGUCGGGAGUGAAAACUCAGGGCUCAACCCUGAGCGUGUUUCCGAUACGGGCAGACUAGAGGUAUGCAGGGGAGAACGGAAUUCCUGGUGUAGCGGUGGAAUGCGCAGAUAUCAGGAGGAACACCGGUGGCGAAGGCGGUUCUCUGGGCAUGACCUGACGCUGAGGAGCGAAAGCAUGGGGAGCGAACAGG
rnacentral:rRNA from 1 species